UAAUGUUCAUUAAGUGUGCAGGCAGUGCAGGACUAAGCAUGCUCAGUGAAAAAGCUUUUCUCCUUUGCCUGUCAAGCCCUAUGUUUGAACUCAUUCCAGAAUGCCGGAUUUACUUUUCACGAAGAAACAGUACCUGGCUGGACUGCAUUUUUCUUUCCCUUCUUAGUCACCGGAAGAUUGGAAACAAUAUUCUUUUGAUGAUCAGUGCACUCUCAGUAAUGCAGUGUGCCUGCAUGCAAGUGUGAACCUUGCAGUAGAGAAGGAAGACAAACUUUGCUACCUGUGAAAUGAAGACUUCUUAGGUAGCAGUGGAAAUGAAAACAAUUCUAUUUAUGAUAUUGAUCACAGGCUCCACAAAUGAGUAACCUGAUGACUUCAGUGGGAAUUGCUCAUAAACAAGAAAGAGAAAGGGUCAUCUGGAUUCUUCUGAAGGCAAGAGUCAAGGCCCAAAGUCUCCAUGAAGGACCUACACAAGGCACAGGAGGAGGAUCUCACCUACUGCCUCUUCUCCAGAGACUCCAUCCCGCACUGAG